UACGGAGGGUGCAAGCGUUGUCCGGAAUCACUGGGCGUAAAGGGCGCGUAGGCGGCUCAUGAAGGCUGUGGUGAAAGUCCGGGGCUCAACCUCGGGUCGGCCGUGGCGACUCGUGGGCUGGAGCACUGUAGAGGCGGGUGGAAUUCCGGGUGUAGCGGUGGAAUGCGCAGAUAUCAGGAGGAACACCGGUGGCGAAGGCGGGUCUCUGGGCAGUAACUGACGCUGAGGAGCGAAAGCGUGGGGAGCGAACAGG
rnacentral:rRNA from 1 species